AUGCCCCGGAAAGUCUUCAACCUGUUUGUGGGCAAGAAGCACUUGAUCUCCUAAAUUGCACCACUGAAUCGCCUUACGAUAAGGAGAAAUGCCAAAAGUUGCUUGAAACUUUGCGCCAAUGCGUAAUCAAUAAGGUAAAGCAUGAUAAUAUCAGACAGCGUUGUGUUAAUAUCUAAGUGGACACUUAGAUGAGACAAUGGACAUACAAAUGUUGAAAGCUAGUGCAAAAGGUUGGCUCUGGUUUCAGAAACCUUGUGCAGAAUAGACUGAUAUAGACUUUAUAAAGGUUCAAUCGCAGCAUGAUAGAAAUAAAGUAAAGAAGUUCUCGCUUUCUGAUCCGAGGAUAGGGAAACCAGAAGGGAGCAUUGAGAAAAGAAGUUAAUCCUUGUGAAGUCAUAAGGAAUGUCUUCUGUGUUGUGAAUUUGCUCUUGAUUCUUCUUAUUCAGUGGAAUAAGCAUUUACCUUCUUUAUUCUAACAGAGGAUACUGUCUUUUAACAUGUACAAUUGUCCUAAGCAUCUCAUUUCUGUUUCGUACAUGGUUCAUUUUAGGAUUUUCUUCAUAACCACUUGUUAGUUUCCUAUCGUCGUCGUCUCUGUCAGUUAUUACUUCGAAAUCAUGAAAAUUCGAUAUGGUUUAUGAGAAAUCUAUCAAGACA